rnacentral:rRNA from 1 species
CAAAGGGGCGUAAAGGGUGUGUAGGCCGACUGCCCCACCCCCCCCAAGGUGGUAAAUGGAAUUUUUCUGUAGCGGUAGAAUGUGCGGAUAGAAAAUAGAACCCCAAAAGCAGAAGCAAUUUACCGCGGGGCGGGAGGGGGGGCCCCUGGGGCGCCCCCCGGGCUACGGGCUGAAACACGAGGGUGUGGGGAACAAACAGGAUUAGAGACCCUGGUAGUCCACACUGUAAACGAUGGAGAAAAUGCGAAUGCAGCCCCGAAAGGCAGCAAUCUCCCGCCUGAGUAGUACGAUCGCAAGAUUAAAAUUCAAAAAAUUUGGCUGUUCACCGUUUCGAUUAGAGGAGCGUGUAGUUUAAUUCGAUAAACCGCGAGAUACCUUACCCAAACUUGAAUCCUUGAGGAUUCCAAGGAAUCCUUAUGGACCGGUAUUGCAUGGCCGUCGUCAGUUCGUGUAUGAAACCUUAAACGGACCCAACCCGAGGAUUAGCCGCGGAUGAAGUCAGGUCUUAUGGUCCCAAUGUUUGGGGAUAAUAUGCGCUACAUUUUCUUAUACAAUGGGAAACCUGAGAGGUGAAACCCAAAAGUGAGAGUUCGGUAGGCUAUUGGAAGAUGGCCGAAAGUUGAAUUUAAUAGUAAUCGGAAAGUAUAGC